rnacentral:lncRNA from 1 species
AGGGGAGCAAGCCAAAUUCAAUAGCCAAUUAAAAUGGCUCUUCAUCAUGAUCAAGUGAGAUUCUCUGGGAUGCCAGAUUGGUUCAACAUGCAUAUCAAUAAAUAUGAUGUACUACUUUAAUAGAAAGAAGGUUUAAGAAAUCAUAAAAUAAUCUCAGUAGAUGAAGAAGAAGCAUUUGACCGAAUUCGACAUCCUUUCAAGGUAAACGCUUUCUUUCACUAAUUUGGGUGCACAAGGAAUGCACUGUGACAUAAUGAAGGCCACACAUAUAUGACAAGACCAUAGGAACAUCGUUCUCAGUGAUGAAAAACUGAAAGCUUUCCUCUGAUUUCAUGGACAAGACCACUCGCACCAUUCUAAACAACACAGUAUUCCCAGUCACAACAAUUAGGCAAGGAAAAGAAAAAAGACACUAGUAAGGAAUAAGUCAAAUUGUCUCUGUUUCCAGAUGGUAUCAUUUCUGUUUUAGUCAGCUUUUUCAUCCCUGUGACCAAAAGAGCUACAAGAGGAAUGCAGAGGAGGAAGUUUAUUUUGACUCAGUUUCAGAGGCUCAGUCCGUGCUUGGCUGACUCUUGAGUCCAAGGUGAAGCAGAACAGCAUGGUGAAGGGGUGUGGCUGAAGAAAGCAGCUCAGGGCAUUGCACCAGGAAGCAGAGGGCAAGCUCUGCUUGCCAGGGACAAAAUACAAACCCCAGUGGCACACCCCCAGUGACCCCCAUACUCUAGCAAUACACUUACUGCCCAAUUAAUCCAUAUCAGUAGAUUGAUCCACUGAUCAGGUCACAGCUCUCCAUAGUCUAAUCAUGUAAGAGAACUUCUGGAAAUUAUUGAAUUGUUUCACACAUGAACUUUCGGGGAAUACCUCCUAUGUAAGCCAUAACAAUUUUAUAUGUAGAAACCCUUAAUACUCCACCAAAAAACUGAAAACUAAUAAAUUCAGUGAAGUUGCAGUAUAAAGAAAUCAACAUGCAAAAAUCAGUAGCCUUUCUGUACGCAUACAACAAACUAUUUGAAAAAGAAAUUAAGAUACCAAUCCCUCAUAAUAGUAUCAAAACUCAUAAAGUAGGAAUAAACAAUGAAAGCGAAAGAUCUAAAGACUAGAAGACUUUAAGGAAAGAAAUUAAGGAAAAUGCAAGAUAUGGAAAGGUUUCCCAGGGGUACUUAACCACUGAGCCAAUCCCAAGCCCUUUUUUAUUUUCAUUUUGAGACAGGGUUUUGCUAAGUUGUUUAGGGUCUUGCUAAGUUGCUGAGGCUAGCCUUGAACUUGUAAUCCUCCUGUCAGCCUGCCAAGCUGCUGGGAUUACAGGCGUGUGCCCUCAUGCUGGGCUGAAAGAAUUAAUAGUCUUAAAAUGUCUACAAAGACCUGUAGAUACAAUAUUACCAAAAGUUCUUGGCAAAAUUUUAUUGGCGUUUUUCAAGGAAAUAGAAAACAAACAAUCCUCAAAUAUAUAUGGAGCCAUAAAAGAGUCCAGAGGCCCAAAGCAAUCAUGAAAAAGGAGAACAAAGCUGCAGGUAGCACCUUUCCUGACUUCCACAAAGGGAACAGUGCGGUGCUGGGUGAAAGCACACAGAGAGACCAGUGACAGACCUGGGCCGGAAGUGAACACACACGUGGUCAACUAGGGUUUGGUGGCACCCAGAGUUCAUAGUGGGAAAGAGGCUCUUCAGUGACCACUGCUGGCAAGAGCUGAGAGCCACAUGCGAAGGAAGGAAAAUCAGCUCCUGUCUUAGACCAUCCACAACAUUAACUUGAGACGCACUGAAGACCUGGAUGCAAAACCCAGAAACUGAGGGAAGAAGCUCCAAGAUGUUGGUGUUGAAAGUGACAUUUUUGAUUGACACAGAAAGCAAAGACAACAAAAAUAAACAGGUGUGUUCCAGUUCGGUUCGGGUAUGAGGUGUCUCUGAAAGGCUGCGUGUUGGAAGAUUCAGGAGUCUUCAGAGUGGAAGGGAUCAGAUCAGAUAAUGAGGGUGGUGACCUUAUUAGUGGAUCAUGAUUUAAGUGGGUCUCAGGUAGGGUGUGGCUGCAGGAGGGAGGUCACUGGGCCAUGCCUUUGAGAUCACAGUGUGUCCCUGGAUCAUUGUAGUCACCUGCUGGGAGCCAUUAGCCAAGUAGGUAUGACAAUUUCCUUGCCAGCAUACCCCAUGUUGCUUAGUGGAAGGACUCAUGGAAAUAGGACAUUUUGCAGUGACAUUGCGUGUAGGUAACCUUGCUCAAGGACCAAGGCGGAUCCGGGUUUAGGGUAUUCCCGGUUUAGGAUAAUCUGGGUUUAGGGCGUUCCCGGUUUAGGACUAUCCGGGUUUAGGAUGGUUCCAGGUUUAAGAUUAUUCCUGCUGGGAAUAGGGCGUAUCCUGCUGCCUGAGUUCCCCUUGAGUUCUCACGGGAUUCAGACAGUAUUUUUUGGGAGACAGAAGCCCAGUGGG